rnacentral:lncRNA from 1 species
AUGGUACUGCCAUGCAUCCUGAAAUUAUCCCUUACCCCACGUGCUGCCACACACGAGUGGGCAAUGACAAAAUAAUGCUUGCAAGUGACUCUAACAGGGAAUUAAACAUCUGCUCCAUCCUUUGUAUGGGCUGUGAUUCUGGAAGGACUAAGCAAUUUCAUAUUUUAUGUGUGUGACAAGAAGGGAUGCUAAGGUAGCCUUGAGGCCCUGAUUUUGGCAGCAGUUUUGCAAAAUGUCCCUGUAAGCUCAACAAACCCUGAGAAGAUCUUGGAGAAGCCUGCAGCAACUGAUGACCAAACCCAGAGGUGCUUUGGACAGAACCAGAGGGAGGUGCCAGCCUUGCCAGGAAGCACAGCGUGGCCCAGGUCAUGCUGCAGACACGGGGACAGGCUGUGGAGCAUCCCAGUGGUGACACCUUGAGCCUGGGACAGGGGCUCUGCACGAGGCCAGGGAAGGAGGCAUGGCUUUCCUCAUCUCUACCUGUGCAGGAGCCGUGUGACCCUUCCUGGAGCAGACAGAGUGCGAGAUCACCAGGCCAGCAGACUCACAGAAAAUAUGUAAGUAGGUUACAGGGGGGUGGAGGAAG